rnacentral:rRNA from 1 species
GGGCGUUUUAGUCGGUGGAGGUAGACGCGAAACCAAGUGAUCUACACAUGUCCAGGUUGAAGUCUCGGUAACACGAGAUGGAGGACCGCACCAAUAAGCGUUGAAAAGCUUCUGGAUGAGGUGUGUGUAGGAGUGAAAGGCCAAUCAAACUUGGAGAUAGCUCGUACUCCCCGAAAGGCAUUUAGGUGCCGCGUGCUAUGAUUUGCAUAAGAGGUAGAGCGACCGAUAGGUCAAGAGGGCUUCACCGCCUAUCGCGACCUGACGAACUCCGAAUGCUUAUGUACCGUAGUAGUGCAGUAAGGGGGCGGGUGCUAAGGUCCGUCCCCGAGAGGAGAAGAAUCCAGACCGCCGUCUAAGGUCCCUGAAUUCUGUCUAAGUUAGUCUAACGAAGUCUGGUCCCCGUGACAGCUAGGAUGUUGGCUUGGAAGCAGCCAUUCAUUCAAAGAGUGCGUAACAGCUCACUAGUCGAGGGUCUGGGCAUGGAUAAUAAUCGGGUAUAAGACAGAUACCGAAGGCGCGGGAUAGUAAUGAUAAAAGUAUCGGUAGGGGAGCAUUCUAUAUACGUUGAAUGGUUAAGGUAACUUUUCCUGGAGUGUAUAGAAAAGCAAAUGUAGGUAUAAGUAACGAUAAGAAGGGUAAGAUUCCCUUCCGCCGCAAGACUAAGGUUUCCCGGGCAAUGCCAAUCAUCCCGGGGUUAGUCGGGUCCUAAGUCUCAGCCGACAGGCGAGGGCGAUGGCAGACACGGUUAAUAUUCCGUGACUGCUGCAUGAUGCGAUUGUGGAGACGGAGAAGUGACACCACCGCGAGCUGACGGAAUAGCUCGUUGAAGAAAUUAGGCGUCGAUCAUGGUAGGCAAAUCCGCCAUGAGAGCUGAAUUUUGAAAGUAUGGCAUUCCCCUCGGGGAAAGCCAAUAGUGUGGGUAAUCCUGCUUCCAAGAAAAUCCGCUAAGCUUCAGUCAUGCAGCACCCGUACCGCAAACGGACACACGUAGUCGGGUUGAAUAUACUUAGGCGUUGAGAGAUUCAUGGUUAAGGAACUAGGCAAAUUAACCCCGUAACUUCGGGAAAAGGGGUCCUCGUUAUUUUACGAGGCGCAGAGAAUAGGUCCAGGCAACUGUUUACCAAAAACACAGGGCUGUGCUAACUCGAAAGAUGAAGUAUACAGUCUGACACCUGCCCGGUGCUGGAAGGUUAAGAGGAGAGGUUAUACGCAAGUAGAAGCUUUGAAUUGAAGCCCCAGUAAACGGCGGCCGUAACUAUAACGGUCCUAAGGUAGCGAAAUUCCUUGUCGGGUAAGUUCCGACCUGCACGAAUGGUGUAAUGAUCUGGACACUGUCUCAAUCAUGAUCUCAGUGAAAUUGUAGUAUCGGUGAAGAUGCCGAUUACCCGCGAUGGGACGAAAAGACCCCGUGAACCUUUACUAUAGCUUAGCAUUGACCUUGGUCAUCCGAUGUGUAGGAUAGGCCGGAGGCUUAGAAGGAGGCGCGCCAGCGCUUUUGGAGCCAUCGUUGAAAUACGGCCCUUUGGCUGUCUGAGGUCUAACGCGCUUAAAGUGCGGACACUGCUUGGUGGGUAGUUUGACUGGGGUGGUCGCCUCCAAAAGCGUAACGGAGGCUUCCAAAGGUGCCCUCAGGUCGAUUGGUAACCGACCUUUUAGAGUGCAAUGGCAUAAGGCGCUUGACUGGGAGGCAGACAUGCCGAGCAGGCAGGAAACUGGGGCAUAGUGAUCCGGUGCAUGUGUAUGGAAACUGCAUCGCUCAAAGGAUAAAAGGUACUCCGGGGAUAACAGGCUGAUCCCCCCCAAGAGCUCAUAUCGACGGGUGGUUUGGCACCUCGAUGUCGGCUCGUCACAUCCUGGGGCUGGAGAAGGUCCCAAGGGUUGGGCUGUUCGCCCAUUAAAGUGGCACGCGAGCUGGGUUCAGAACGUCGUGAGACAGUUCGGUCUCUAUCUAUCGUGGGCGCAGGAGUUUUGCGUGGUGCCGUCACUAGUACGAGAGGACCGUGAUGGACAGACCUCUGGUUUACCAGUUGUGCCGCCAGGCGCACCGCUGGGUAUCUAAGUCUGGUUAGGAUAAGCGCUGAAAGCAUCUAAGUGCGAAGCCAUCCGCAAGAUGAGAACUCCAUAUAAGGGUCGUUGUAGACGACGACGUUGAUAGGGUGCAGGUGUAAAGCCAGCGAUGGCAAAGCCGAGCACUACUAAUUGCCCAAGACUUUCUUUU